rnacentral:rRNA from 1 species
UACGUAGGGCGCAAGCGUUGUCCGGAAUUAUUGGGCGUAAAGAGCUCGUAGGCGGUUUGUCGCGUCUGCUGUGAAAGCCCGAGGCUCAACCUCGGGUCUGCAGUGGGUACGGGCAGACUGGAGUGCAGUAGGGGAGACUGGAAUUCCUGGUGUAGCGGUGAAAUGCGCAGAUAUCAGGAGGAACACCGGUGGCGAAGGCGGGUCUCUGGGCCGAUACUGACGCUGAGGAGCGAAAGCGUGGGGAGCGAACAGG